rnacentral:rRNA from 1 species
CGCGGCCUAUCAGCUUGUUGGUGGGGUAAUGGCUCACCAAGGCGACGACGGGUAGCCGGCCUGAGAGGGUGACCGGCCACACUGGGACUGAGACACGGCCCAGACUCCUACGGGAGGCAGCAGUGGGGAAUAUUGCACAAUGGGCGGAAGCCUGAUGCAGCGACGCCGCGUGAGGGAUGACGGCCUUCGGGUUGUAAACCUCUUUCAGUAGGGAAGAAGCGAGAGUGACGGUACCUGCAGAAGAAGCGCCGGCUAACUACGUGCCAGCAGCCGCGGUAAUACGUAGGGCGCAAGCGUUGUCCGGAAUUAUUGGGCGUAAAGAGCUCGUAGGCGGUUUGUCGCGUCUGCUGUGAAAGCCCGGGGCUCAACCCCGGGUCUGCAGUGGGUACGGGCAGACUAGAGUGCAGUAGGGGAGACUGGAAUUCCUGGUGUAGCGGUGAAAUGCGCAGAUAUCAGGAGGGACACCGAUGGCGAAGGCAGGUCUCUGGGCUGUUACUGACGCUGAGGAGCGAAAGCAUGGGGAGCGAACAGGAUUAGAUACCCUGGUAGUCCAUGCCGUAAACGUUGGGCACUAGGUGUGGGGGACAUUCCACGUUUUCCGCGCCGUAGCUAACGCAUUAAGUGCCCCGCCUGGGGAGUACGG